UGGGGAAUAUUGGACAAUGGGCGCAAGCCUGAUCCAGCAAUGCCGCGUGUGUGAAGAAGGCCUUCGGGUUGUAAAGCACUUUUAUCAGGAGCGAAACGCUGUCGGCUAAUACCCGGCGGAACUGACGGUACCUGAGGAAUAAGCACCGGCUAACUUCGUGCCAGCAGCCGCGGUAAUACGAAGGGUGCAAGCGUUAAUCGGAAUUACUGGGCGUAAAGCGUGCGUAGGCGGUUUCUUAAGUCUGCUGUGAAAUCCCCGGGCUCAACCUGGGAAUGGCAGUGGAUACUGGGAGGCUAGAGUGUGUCAGAGGGUGGUGGAAUUCCCGGUGUAGCGGUGAAAUGCGUAGAGAUCGGGAGGAACAUCAGUGGCGAAGGCGGCCACCUGGGACAACACUGACGCUGAGGCACGAAAGCGUGGGGAGCAAACAGGAUUAGAUACCCUGGUAGUCCACGCCCUAAAGCGAUGCGAACUGGAUGUUGGUCUCAACUCGGAGAUCAGUGUCGAAGCUAACGCGUUAAGUUCGCCGCCUGGGGAGUACGGUCGCAAGACUGGAAACUCAAAUGAAUUGACGGGGUCAUAGCUGUUUCC
rnacentral:rRNA from 1 species